rnacentral:rRNA from 1 species
GCAUGCCUAAUACAUGCAAGUCGAACGAAGCUAGUUGUAUGAAAGUGCUUGCACCGGAUUAUAACAGUGCUUAGUGGCGAACGGGUGAGUAACACGUAAGCAAUCUACCUUUAAGAAGGGAAUGAUUUCCGGAAACGGAUUGUAAUACCCUAUAGGAUAUUCUAAGGCAUCUUAUGAAUAUUUAAAGGCGUUUAGGUAACUAAUCGUCACUUAAAGAUGAGCUUACGCCGCAUUAGCUUGUUGGUAGGGUAAUGGCCUACCAAGGCGAUGAUGCGUAGCCGGCCUGAGAGGGUGAACGGCCACACUGGGACUGAGACACGGCCCAGACUCCUACGGGAGGCAGCAGUAGGGAAUUUUCCACAAUGGACGAAAGUCUGAUGGGGCGAUGCCGCGUGAACGAUGAAGGUUUUCGGAUCGUAAAGUUCUGUUGUAAGGGAAGAAAAAGAAUGAUAGGCAAUGAUCAUUAAUUGACGGUACCUUACCAGAAAGCCACGGGCUAACUACGUGCCAGCAGCCGCGGUAAUACGUAGGCGGCNAGCGUUAUCCGGAAUUAUUGGGCGUAAAGGGUGCGCACGCGGUUUUGUAAGUCUUA